GUGAGGAAUAUUGGUCAAUGGGCGCGAGCCUGAACCAGCCAAGUAGCGUGAGGGAUGACUGCCCUAUGGGUUGUAAACCUCUUUUGCAGGGGGGUAAAGUGGUUCACGUGUGGACCAUUGCAAGUACCCUGCGAAUAAGGAUCGGCUAACUCCGUGCCAGCAGCCGCGGUAAUACGGAGGAUCCGAGCGUUAUCCGGAUUUAUUGGGUUUAAAGGGAGCGUAGGCGGGGGUUUAAGUCAGCUGUGAAAUGCCGUGGCCCAACCAUGGAACUGCAGUUGAAACUGGACCUCUUGAGAGUACAUAAGGAAGGCGGAAUUCGUGGUGUAGCGGUGAAAUGCAUAGAUAUCACGAAGAACUCCGAUUGCGAAGGCAGCUUUCCGGGGUACAUCUGACGCUGAAGCUCGAAAGUGCGGGAAUCAAACAGGAUUAGAAACCCCAGUAGUCC
rnacentral:rRNA from 1 species